rnacentral:tRNA from 1 species
GGUUCCAUGGUGUAGUGGUUAGCACUCAGGACUCUGAAUCCUGCGACCCGAGUUCGAAUCUCGGUGGGACCU